rnacentral:tRNA from 1 species
GAGGGCAUAGCCCAAUGGUAGAGUGCAUGCUUAGUAUGACCUUGGGGUCCUGGGUUCAAUCCCCAGUGCUUCCA